UGGAAGCUAAGCGUCCUGCCUCCUCUGCUGCUUUGCUCUCCGCGAGUCUCGCCUCUGCUCCGGGGGGCGCGGAGCGAGCGGCUCCGAGGCUCUGCCGCCGGCGGCUUGGCGGUGUGUUCAUUCAUUGACUGGGCCCCCAUCCCCCCACCUGCUGUCUGGGAACCUGCCCUCCUGUUUCUGAGACCACGUCCGGCGUGGGAAGAAGUCUUGAUUGGUUUUCAUGGAUGGCAGGCGCCAUUCUUCACGCUUCUCACCCUUCUAUUGAAAUGGCAGUGAAAACGCAAGUGGAGGAAGCACUGAUAAAGGGGCAGCAAAGGCUACAGGAGACCAGAGUCGCCGACUGGUGGUCAAACAUGACGAUCUCUUGUACCUGAAGCAACUUGAGGAUUUUGGCAUCCUAAGAGGCGCUGUGGGACUUGAAAGCAGUGGAAAAUUUGCCAGAGAUGAUAGGAAAGAUGGUCAUCAAAUGAAUAUCCCCUGGCUUGCCCGGUGACCAGAGCCAUAACCUUCAGUGGCCACCUUGGCACUGGAACAGGCUGCAGAGCUCGCCCUUCCUCAAACCAGUCCUCACGUCCCCACAUUGUUUUGCUUAGUUGUUUUAUGUGGUUUCUGGCCUGAUCGUUUUCUUGUUUGUCUGUUUUUUGUUUCGUUUUGUUUUUUGUGGGGGUGCAGCAGAAACUCCCCAGGUAGCUGGGAAGUUCGUGGAAUCUUCCUGUUGGCACAGCGUUCACUGUGGCUUGUGUUACAGUGUGGCACGAGCGUGACCAGGUGUUUCUCAGCCGUCCUGUCACCUACACAGCACCCUGCAGCUUGACUUCUGAAAGUCGAGAGAAGCAGGUUUGAACAACUGUUUUGUGUCGCAUAGAAAGGACAUUUCGUUCGAUAACAGGAACAUAGCUUUUGUGCUAAUAAAAAUGCUUUAAAAAUUAG